rnacentral:guide_RNA from 1 species
AUAUAAAACCAAACAAUCAGAUAUAUGUAAGAGAAAGUGAUGUAUAAUAU